rnacentral:misc_RNA from 1 species
UGCUUUUCAUUAUAUUGUAAAAAAACAUCGCAAAAUUCAAACCUUGAAUUAAUCCUAACACUAUAAGAUCUUGUUACAAUGUAAUACAUAGACAAAUAGAUGGAAUCCAAUAUGCAGCUGAUAGAAUUCUAGAAACGUUCCAGUGGAUCUAAUGUAAUGGGGCAAUUGAAUGCAGGUUCCAGGUUUGUGUUGUAUGCAUUUAUUCUGCCUCAAUUGUUACAAGACCAAAAUUACCUUGUCCAUCUCCAAUAUAGAAAA